rnacentral:rRNA from 1 species
UACGUAGGUGGCAAGCGUUGUCCGGAUUUAUUGGGCGUAAAGCGCGCGCAGGCGGUCCUUUAAGUCUGAUGUGAAAGCCCACGGCUCAACCGUGGAGGGUCAUUGGAAACUGGAGGACUUGAGUACAGAAGAGGAAAGCGGAAUUCCACGUGUAGCGGUGAAAUGCGUAGAGAUGUGGAGGAACACCAGUGGCGAAGGCGGCUUUCUGGUCUGUAACUGACGCUGAGGCGCGAAAGCGUGGGGAGCAAACAGG